rnacentral:lncRNA from 1 species
UCUUAAAAUUGCUAAGUGCUCUCUCGCCCUGCUUUCCCUCUCCUCUGUCACUGCAGGUGAAGUCUUCUUAUGAAGUGGAUUUGCUCCUUCAUCUUUCAGUACAUGAUGUCAGUCUCAAGCAAUAGCAGGCCUUUUAUUUCCCAGAAGAUACUCAUCACUGUGGGCAAACUAAUGACACAUGUUAAGGAAUUCAGUCUUAUGGAAAUCAUCUAAAGUGACCGUUUCGUAGUCUGGUUAUUUCAACCUUCACAAUGACCAUUUCAGUGAAGUAUUGUGACCUAACUGCCUAGAAAUCAUCUGCAACUCCACUGAAAAAAAGCUCUCUAUGGAAAGAAUAAUUCAGUGUCUCUGGAUUACUCGUGGAUGUUUGAGUAGCAAUUUCACGAUCAACCUAUUGUUUUACCUCCAACACAACUUAACCCACAUUUCCAAGGAUGAAAAUUAACUUCUUAAGAAAAAACUACUAUACAAUAAGCAAUCAAAAGUCUUGGAAGAAGGCUAGGUGGAAGAUUAAGCUAGUGUCGCUAAGCUGGAGUGGAUCGUCAUAAAUCACACAAAUGAAAAUAAAAGGAACAUUUUUAAAAUGAGAAUGGUAUCUUCGCUGUUAGCAACGUAGAGAUAUAGCUAAUGGAAACUGAAAAUGGGAAGCAUUUGUAUUCACUGUUUAAAAAGUGUGCAUAAACAUAUAUAUAACCAACAAUUGGAAGCCAAUAAUCAUCAGUAUUGAUUAUUAUUAAAGGGUUGUUUAAAUAAAUUUUUGUACAUCAACACAAGAGAAUACAGUGCAACAAAAGGUGAUGAAAUAGUCUGUUUAUCUGAUCCUACCCAAUAAUGAAUGCGAAUGCAUCUUAUUAAUACAUAUAGCAAUGUAACAUGUAUGUUAUAUAGAUAUUGAAAGUGAGUUCCAGAUACGAUAAGGAAAAAGCAAGAUAUAGAGAAAGCAUAUUAUAUGUUUCCAUGUGCAUUUGGAUAUGUAUGUAUUUUAUUGCAAUAUGUAAAAAAAAAGGGUCAAAGACAUAACUGCUCACUUAAAAGCAAACUCCAUUUCACUUUUGCUUCUUUUGACAAAUUUUAACAAACCAUAUCAAUGUUAAACCAGAAGAUAAUUUAGUUAAUGUAGAACAAUGAUUUAAAGAUUUAUAUGACAUAUUUUUGAUAUUCUAGUCAUGAAAAUCAUAAUUACCAUAGAAACAGCUUACUAUAAUGGCUCAUGCAGUAUAAAACUAAAGAAAAGCCAUUUCAUAUUGCAAGCUAUGAAAUAAUUCAUUUGGGAUAAACAACCAAGCAGUACUGCUGGCAGGAUUGCCAGGUAAAACUCUUGUGGUUAUUUGCUGACUCAAUCAAAAGUAAAAGGUUAUAUUAUUCAUUCAAUGUCAGAAAUUAAGAUAUUU